CCUACGGGGGGCAGCAGUGAGGAAUAUUGGUCAAUGGCCGGAAGUCUGAACCAGCCAUGCCGCGUGAAGGUCAGUGCCCUAUGGGCGUUAAACUUCUUUUGUGCGGGAGCUAUCAUGGUCACGUGUGGCCAGACGAGAGUACCGUACGAAUAAGCAUCGGCUAACUUCGUGCCAGCAGCCGCGGUCAUACGGGGGAUGCAAGCGUUAUCCGGAUUUAUUGGGUUUAAAGGGUGCGUAGGCUGUGAGGUAAGUCAGCGGUGAAAUGCCCCCGCUCAACGGGGUGAAGUGCCAUUGAUACUGGCUGGCUGGAAGGCGGAUGCGGUGGGAGGAAGGUGUGGUGUAGCGGUGAAAUGCAUAGAGAUCACACAGAACACCGAGUGCGAAGGCAUCUCACGAAUCCGCGAUUGACGCUGAGGCACGAAAGCGUGGGUAGCAAACAGGAUUAGAUACCCUUGUAGUC
rnacentral:rRNA from 1 species